UUAAGAUACUAAGAGCAUACGGUGGAUGCCUUGGCGAUAUCUGCCGACGAAGGACGUGACAAGCUGCGAAAAGCUGCGGAGAGAUGCAAAUAAUCGGCGACCCGCAGACAUCCGAAUGGAGAAAUCCGGCUGUGAUGAUGCACAGCCAUCCAUGCCCAAGAGCAUGAGAAGGGAACCGGGCGAACUGAAACAUCUAAGUAGCCCGAGGAAAAGAAAUCAAACGAGAUACCCCAAGUAGCGGCGAGCGAACAGGGAAGAAGCCCAAACCGGUGAAGGAAACUUUACCGGGGUUGAGGACCAUCAGAACCGCGAAGAACCUUAGCCGAAACUGUUGGGAAACAGUGCCGAAGACAGUGAAAGCCUGGUAGGCGAAAAAGAGAAACGCGGAGAUGGCACCAGAGUACCGCGGGACACGAGAAAUCCCGUGGGAAGCAGGGGGGACCACCCUCCAAGGCAAAACACAGAUAUCGACCGAUAGCGCAUAGUACCAUGAGGGAAAGGUGAAAAGCACCCCGGGAGGGGAAUGAAAGAGAACCUGAAACCGUAUGUUUACAAGCAGUCGGAGACCGCUUAAUAAUAAGGUCGACGGCGUGCCUAUUGAAGAAUGAACCGGCGAGUUACGAAGCCUGGCAAGGUUAAGCAGGAAAUGCGGAGCCGAAGCGAAAGCGAGUCUUAAGAGGGCGCAAGUCAGGAAGCGUAGACCCGAAACCACAGUGAUCUACCCAUGUCCAGGUUGAAACACAGGUAAAAAUGUGUGGAGGACCGAACCUAUAUCCGUUGAAAAGGGUUAGGAUGAGGUGUGGGUAGGGGUGAAAUUCCAAUCGAACGUGGAGAUAGCUGGUUCUCCCCGAAAUAGCUUUAGGGCUAGCCUCAGGGAAAAGAUUGCAGGCGGUAGAGCACUGAUCAGGAGAGGGACCUACCCGGUUACCAAACCCAGUCAAACUCCGAAUGGCUGCAAUCAUACCUGGGAGUCAGACUGCGACUAAUAAGGGCCGCAGUCAAAAGGGAAACAGCCCAGACCAUCAGCUAAGGUCCCCAAUGCCGUGCUAAGUGGCGAAGGAUGUGGCAUUUCAUAAACAACCAGGAUGUUGGCUCAGAAGCAGCCACCAUUUAAAGAGUGCGUAAUAGCUCACUGGUCGAGAGACGCUGCGCCGAAAAUGUCCGGGGCUCAAGCACGGAACCGAAGCUAUGGCAUGAUAGCAAUAUCAUGGGUAGGGGAGCGUUCUUAUAAGGAAGAAGCAUGACCGGAAGGACAUGUGGACAAAUAAGAAGUGAGAAUGCCGGUAUGAGUAUCGAAAAGAAAGGUGAGAAUCCUUUCCACCGAAAGCCCGAGGGUUCCUGAGCAACGAUCGUCGACUCAGGGUAAGUCGGGACCUAAGCCGAGGCGAGAAGCGUAGGCGAUGGACAACAGGUUGAAAUUCCUGUACCGGAUCAAGUCGAUCGAGCGAAGGAGCGACGCAGGAGGGCACAUGAUCGCGCGGCUGGAAGAGCGCGUCCAAGUGCGUAUGUUGCCGCAGAGGAAAACCCCUGCAGCUAAAAGCAGAGACAUGAAGGGGAGUUAAAGGAAACUUUGACGAACUCAUGGAUCCCACACUGCCAAGAAAAACUUCUAGCGAGACAAGAUCCGCCCGUACCGUAAACCGACACAGGUAGGCGGGGAGAGAAUCCUAAGGUGCGCGGGAAAACCCUCGUUAAGGAACUCGGCAAAUUGCAUCCGUAACCUAGGGAGAAGGAUGGCCCCCGGUCAGUGAAGAGCAGAAACGCUCAGAGCUAAAAGGGGCGGCAGAAAAGAGGCCCAAGCAACUGUUUACCAAAAACACAGGUGCCUGCGAAAGCGAAAGCUGAAGUAUAGGUGCUGACGCCUGCCCGGUGCCGGAAGGUUAAGGAGAGAAGUUAGCGAACGCGAAGCAUCGAACUGAAGCCCCGGUGAACGGCGGCCGUAACUAUAACGGUCCUAAGGUAGCGAAAUUCCUUGUCGGGUAAGUUCCGACCCGCAUGAAAGGCGUAAUGAUUUGGGCACUGUCUCAACGAGGGGCCCGGUGAAAUUGAAAUA
rnacentral:rRNA from 1 species